rnacentral:lncRNA from 1 species
AUGCUUGCUUCUUCUUCAUUAUUAAUUCUGAAAUUUAUUUUUGCAAUGAGUGAACUAACCAAUUUUGGCUCAGAUAUCUUGUGUAUUCCCCAGCUUGGUAGAUGUGUUAUUAUUUGUGUUGAGCACUGUUUGUCCAUGACAGAUGGUUUUAAGCAAAUAAACAGACUUGAGCUGAAGAGUAAAACAACAGAUAUAAAAAAGCGUGAGAAUGAAGGAAGAAAAGAAAGAAAGGAAGGAAGGAAGGAAGGAAGGAAGGAAGGAAGAAAGAAAGAAAGAAAGAAAGAAAGAAAGAAAGAAAGAAAGAAAGAUGGAAGCAAAGCCCUAUGUGUCAGGCUUCCGAGGAUCCAGCCCCCAUGGCAGGUUGCACCUGUGAUGCUGAUGCUGGAGAAGUGGACGGGAGAUGGCAAUGUGUACACUGGGCACACCUUGAGCCGAUGGAGACACUGGCCGCCUGCCGGAGGAGGUGGAAGACGUUGGUGAGCCACAAUUGCUGUACUUCCUUUCGCCAUAGAAGAAGAAGAAGAGGAGGAGGAGGAGGAGGAGGAGGAGGAGGAGGAGGAGGAGGAGUUUGGAUUUGAUAUCCCGCUUUAUCACUACCCUAAGGAGUCUCAAAGCGGCUAACAAUCUCCUUUUCCCUUCCUCCCCCACAACAAACACUCUGUGAGGUGAGUGAGGCUGAGAGACUUCAGAGAAGUGUGACUAGCCCAACGUCACCCAGAAGCUGCAUGUGGAGGAGGGGAGACGCAAACCCGGUUCACCAGAUUAUAAGUCUACCGCUCUUAACCACUACACCACACUGGCUCUUGUUCGACAGUGGCGGGUUCUGCAAUUGCCAGGCGGGCUGGGUUCAGGGCCCUGGCAGGCCAGAUCUGGCCCACAGACCGUAGUUUGAGGACCCCUGGUAUAAAGUGUUCACAGAAGCAAGGGGAAGAGCAAUGCUAUUGGGCUUUUAUUUUGUGGAUUUGUUUCCCCAGGAUUGCAUAAAUGUGUACAUAUAAAUUCC